ACGAACGCUGGCGGCGUGCCUAAUACAUGCAAGUCGAACGAGCUCUCCCAAAUUGAUUUUAUGCUUGCAUAAAUGAUUUUUGGAUUCGGAGCGAGUGGCGAACUGGUGAGUAACACGUGGGUAACCUGCCCCGAAGCGGGGGAUAACAUUUGGAAACAAGUGCUAAUACCGCAUAAUUAGUUGGAACCGCAUGGUUCCAACUUGAAAGAUGGCUCUGCUAUCACUUUGGGAUGGACCCGCGCCGUAUUAGUUAGUUGGUGAGAUAAAAGCCCACCAAGACGAUGAUACGUAGCCGACCUGAGAGGGUAAUCGGCCACAUUGGGACUGAGACACGGCCCAGACUCCUACGGGAGGCAGCAGUAGGGAAUCUUCCACAAUGGACGAAAGUCUGAUGGAGCAACGCCGCGUGAGUGAUGAAGGUUUUCGGAUCGUAAAACUCUGUUGUUAAAGAAGAACAAGUGUUAGAGUAACUGUUAACACUUUGACGGUAUUUAACCAGAAAGCCACGGCUAACUACGUGCCAGCAGCCGCGGUAAUACGUAGGUGGCAAGCGUUGUCCGGAUUUAUUGGGCGUAAAGCGAGCGCAGGCGGUUUUGUAAGUCUGCUGUGAAAGCCCUCAGCUCAACUGAGGAAGUGCAGUGGAAACUACAAAACUUGAGUACAGAAGAGGAAAGUGGAACUCCAUGUGUAGCGGUGAAAUGCGUAGAUAUAUGGGAAGAACACCAGUGGCGAAGGCGGCUUUCUGGUCUGUUACUGACGCUGAGGCUCGAAAGCAUGGGUAGCGAACAGGAUUAGAUACCCUGGUAGUCCAUGCCGUAAACGAUGAAUACUAGGUGUUGGAGGGUUUCCGCCCUUCAGUGCCGCAGCUAACGCAUUAAGUAUUCCGCCUGGGGAGUACGACCGCAAGGUUGAAACUCAAAGGAAUUGACGGGGGCCCGCACAAGUGGUGGAGCAUGUGGUUUAAUUCGAUGCUACGCGAAGAACCUUACCAGCUCUUGACAUCUUCUGCCAACCCAAGAGAUUGGGCGUUCCCUUCGGGGACAGAAUGACAGGUGGUGCAUGGUUGUCGUCAGCUCGUGUCGUGAGAUGUUGGGUUAAGUCCCGCAACGAGCGCAACCCUUAUUAUUAGUUGCCAGCAUUUAGUUGGGCACUCUAGUGAGACUGCCGGUGAUAAACCGGAGGAAGGUGGGGACGACGUCAAAUCAUCAUGCCCCUUAUGAGCUGGGCUACACACGUGCUACAAUGGAUGGUACAACGAGUCGCGAAACCGCGAGGUCAAGCUAAUCUCUUAAAGCCAUUCUCAGUUCGGAUUGCAGGCUGCAACUCGCCUGCAUGAAGUUGGAAUCACUAGUAAUCGUGGAUCAGCAUGCCACGGUGAAUACGUUCCCGGGCCUUGUACACACCGCCCGUCA
rnacentral:rRNA from 1 species